GCCCCGCCCCGUCGCAUUGCAGCUAACGUUACCUACGGAAGUUGGGCAGUCAUUGGGGGCCGUCGUUUUCUGGCGUGACAAAAGGGAAAAACGACCACAUUUACUCGCCCCCUCCUUGAAGGUUUGAUACUGUGGUGCAUCGGCGGAAGAACGCUCGAAGCAAGAUGCGGGAGUGUGGCAUGCUGGAGAGGGACCGGGUAGCUCUGCGGAGUGCUUCUCUCUGCAGGCAGCUGGUGGUGGAUGAGCUUCUCAUUCAGUUUCUGCUUCAGGACAACAUCCUCACCGACAGUAUGGCUGAGGGCAUCCUGGCCGAGCAAACGUCCCAGAAACGAAGCUUGCGUCUGCUGUUGCUCCUUCCCAAGCGAGGGCCGCGAGCCUUCAGCAGCUUCUGCUCGGCGCUCCGAGAAACCGAGCAGCGACACCUGUGCGAGCUGGUCACGCAAUCGCAGGAGAAGGAGGCGCAAGGUUUCCAACCUGAUGAGGAGCGUGAAGGACGGGCAGGAUGGCAGCUAAUGCAGACAUCAGAGAGGAGGAGAGAGAGAUAUAGCGACUCCUCUCUUCCACUUGCCACUCAGGAAGAAACCGUAGCAAAACGAGCCAGGACGCACGAAUUUAUGGAGUACAGCUUGGAUGCAGAUAGUCCCAUCACCACUCCCGUCCUCCCUUGCACGCAUGACCUCUACCUCUCACAAUGCCUCAGGUCCUAUGCAAUGACCUCAUCCCCACGUGGUUUAGCCCUGGUGAUCAGCAAUAUGACGUUUGACCCACCCGACCUGGACCCCAGGAAGGGCGGCGAGGUGGACUACGAUGUGCUCAGCGAGCUUUUCACAGAUCUGGACUACGCGGUGACGCUCCGCAGAGACCUGACGGCUGAGGAAAUGAGAACCAGCAUCGAGAGCUUCCGCCGGCGUCCGGAGCACCGCUCGGUGAACAGCUGCGUGGUUUGUCUCCUCUCCCACGGCGUAGAAGGUGCCGUGUACGGCACAGACGGCCAGCUCCUGCAGCUUCAGUGGGUGUUUGAGGCCUUUGACAACGUGCGCUGCCCGCUGCUGCAGAACAAACCAAAGAUGUUUUUCAUCCAGGCCUGCAGAGGAGAGGACCUGGACUGCGGAGUGGAGCAGGUGGAUGGGCCAGGAAGGAGCAGCUCACCCAGCUGUGAACAGCGGGACGCCGGGCGAGAAGGUCCCAGGGGCGCCGGUGCCAGACAGGGAGGGGACUUAGGACUGCCCAGGAUUAAACUGCCCCAGCGGUCUGACAUGAUAUGCGGCUAUGCCUCUCUCAAAGGUCAGACCAUUUGCACGGCGGCCAUGCGCAACACCAAGCGAGGAUCCUGGUUCAUCCAGGAGCUCAACUCUACCCUCCGCCUCCACGCCAGAGACACACACAUGGCUGACAUCCUGGUGCAGGUCAACGGGCGGAUCAAAGAGCGCGAGGGUUACGCCCCCGGCACGCCCCACCAUCGCUGCAAAGAGAUGUCCGAGUUCACCAGCUCGCUGUGCAAAGACCUCUACCUUUUUCCCAAAUACCAGCCCCAUUCUUCAUAAUGCACUUACACACACGCACACUAGUGUGUUCACACGUCCCCUCAUUCCAAGCGUAUUACUGUCACACACUUUUGCAUUCCAGCGUUACAAGCUCACACACACACACACACACACACAGGCUUCCAAACAUUUACUCAUUCACAAUUUCUGUGUUAAUGCUCCCUCAGCAAAAGUCUGCAUGUUUGACAUCUCACAGCAUUCACAAUUCUGUGUCGAGGGUAUUCAUCCCUCUUCUGGGUAUUAUUGUAAAAUGGUAUUUUCUACACAGAUCUAUUUUAGUUUUGUUUUGUACAAAUGUAUUUUUUAAGGAUUUUGUAAAUUAACCCCCUCGCAUUUUAAUGUAUUUGUUCAGCAGCUUCAGCGUCGGUUGUCAUGUUGCAGUGUACAGUAGUGAAAGGCAGAGGGCAGCAUUGAGCAACGAGGUUGGUGCAGCAGGUUUUUUUUCCCCCUUCCUCCUCUCCAAAUAGGAGGUUCUCCAGCAUUCCAAAAUGUUUCCUACUCACAUGUCACCUUUUAUUCAGUUGAAUCCCUCUGACAUGGCUUUUACUUGAAGAUGUUUGUGUUGUAAAUAUUUCUCUUUUAACCGUAGCCUCCCACCUCCAGUGUGAACUUUGAACUUUACGCUGACACCUAAUCACGCUCCCCUCCAAGGGGGGUGACACGCAUUUAGCGACACCCCUACUCAACCUUUUAGCGUUUAUAUUUUCUGUUAUGUCAUCCUAUGUGAUACAGUGACCAAUGUACAUCUCGUGUCUUCCAAAAAGUUUCAGGAAAUAUGCAGAUAAAAAAAAAAGCUGGUUAUUAUCACAGUGUAUUGAAGCGCUCCCCCCUCGACUCAGACAUCCAGCAUUUGUCAAUGCUGGAUGUUCAUUGAUGUUUCCCAGAAAAGCCACAAUGAGGCAACGUGCGUUUGGUUACAGUGUUGUGGAGAAAGAUACUACGAAGCAGUAUUGAUUUGUCACCAAAGAGGCUUUGAAAGUACGUGCUCUUCUUGGAUGUUGCGUUGUAACGAUAGUAAAAGAAUGACGACGAGGUCACCGUGCAGAGAGAGGAUGUGAUUUGCUGCCAAACUCUUGUGCUGAGAUGGGAGGGGGGGUUAUUUCUGUCAUCGCUAAUGACUGCCAAGUCUUCCUGACAAUAAACAAGCUAAUGUUUAUCAACAA